rnacentral:snRNA from 1 species
GGAUGUGAGGGUGAUCUGGCUGGGACAUCUGUCACCCCAUUGAUCGCCAGGGUUGAUUCGGCUGAUCUGGCUGGCUAUCUGAGUGUCCCCUUCCUCCCUCAUGGCUCCAUGUGUGUCCCUCCCAAAGCUGCGCAGUCAGUCGAAGAGGACGACCUUCCCCGCUGGAGGAGACCAUUCUUCGGUGAAGGGUAUACGAGUAGCUGAACUCCCCUGCUAGAACCUCCAAACAAGCUCUGAAAAGGGGAGGAAGUGAAAGCAGUUGAAAAAAGAGAAGAGAGAGGCAGAAGAGGUAGCGAUCCAGGCUGGUGGAGUGCCCUUCCU